rnacentral:tRNA from 1 species
GUCGGUAUCGUCUAGCGGCUUAGGACACUGGGUUUUCAUCCCAGUAGACAGGGGUUCGAAUCCCCUUACCGACUCCA